rnacentral:rRNA from 1 species
UACGAAGGGGGCUAGCGUUGCUCGGAAUCACUGGGCGUAAAGCGCACGUAGGCGGGUUCUUAAGUCGGUGGUGAAAUCCUGGAGCUCAACUCCAGAACUGCCUCCGAUACUGAGAGUCUCGAGUCCGGGAGAGGUGAGUGGAACUGCGAGUGUAGAGGUGAAAUUCGUAGAUAUUCGCAAGAACACCAGUGGCGAAGGCGGCUCACUGGCCCGGUACUGACGCUGAGGUGCGAAAGCGUGGGGAGCAAACAGG